ACUCCUACGGGAGGCAGCAGUGGGGAAUAUUGGACAAUGGGGGAACCCGUGAUCCAGCCAUGCCGCGUGUGUGAAGAAGGCCUUCGGGUUGUAAAGCACUUUCAGUGGGGAGGAAAGGGUGUGUGCUAAUACCAUACAUCUGUGACGUUACUCGCAGAAGAAGCACCGGCUAACUCCGUGCCAGCAGCCGCGGUAAUACGGAGGGUGCGAGCGUUAAUCGGAAUUACUGGGCGUAAAGCGUGCGCAGGCGGUUUGUUAAGCGAGAUGUGAAAGCCC
rnacentral:rRNA from 1 species